rnacentral:rRNA from 1 species
GACGAACGCUGGCGGCGUGCUUAACACAUGCAAGUCGAACGGAAAGGCCCCUUUGGGGUACUCGAGUGGCGACCGGGUGAGUAACACGUGAGUAACCUGCCCUUGACUUCGGGAUAACUUCAGGAAACUGGGGCUAAUACCGGAUAGGAAUCCUUGCUGCAUGGUGGGGGUUGGAAAGCUUCGGCGGUUUUGGAUGGACUCGCGGCUUAUCAGCUUGUUGGUGGGGUAGUGGCUUACCAAGGCUUUGACGGGUAGCCGGCCUGAGAGGGCGACCGGCCACAUUGGGACUGAGAUACGGCCCAGACUCCUACGGGAGGCAGCGGUGGGGAAUAUUGCACAAUGGGCGGAAGCCUGAUGCAGCAACGCCGCGUGCGGGAUGACGGCCUUCGGGUUGUAAACCGCUUUCAGCAGGGGCGAAGCUUGUGGUGACGGUACCUGCAGAAGAAGCACCGGCUAACUACGUG